GCGCAAGAGGGCAAACCCAGUGCUUGCACUGGGGGUUGUAGGACUGCAAUGUGCAAGAGGUGAGUUUAGCAGAACAUUCUGGAAAGUAUAGCCAUAGAGGGUGAUAGUCCCGUAUGCGAAAAACAAACCUUAGCUAGCAGUAUCCUGAGUAGGGCGGGACACGAGAAAUCCUGUCUGAAGCUGGGUCGACCACGAUCCAACCCUAAAUACUAAUACCAGAUCGAUAGUGCACAAGUACCGUGAGGGAAAGGUGAAAAGAACUGAGGUGAUCAGAGUGAAAUAGAACCUGAAACCAUUUGCUUACAAUCAUUCAGAGCCCUAUGUAGCAAUACAGGGUGAUGGACUGCCUUUUGCAUAAUGAGCCUGCGAGUUGUGGUGUCUGGCAAGGUUAAGCAAACGCGAAGCCGUAGCGAAAGCGAGUCUGAAUAGGGCGCUUAGUCAGAUGCUGCAGACCCGAAACGAAGUGAUCUAUCCAUGAGCAAGUUGAAGCUAGUGUAAGAACUAGUGGAGGACUGAACCCAUAGGCGUUGAAAAGCCCCGGGAUGACUUGUGGAUAGGGGUGAAAGGCCAAUCAAACUUCGUGAUAGCUGGUUCUCUCCGAAAUAUAUUUAGGUAUAGCGUUGUGUCGUAAUAUAAGGGGGUAGAGCACUGAAUGGGCUAGGGCAUACACCAAUGUACCAAACCCUAUCAAACUCCGAAUACCUUAUAUGUAAUCACAGCAGUCAGGCGGCGAGUGAUAAAAUCCGUCGUCAAGAGGGAAACAACCCAGACUACCAGCUAAGGUCCCUAAAUCUUACUUAAGUGGAAAACGAUGUGAAGUUACUUAAACAACCAGGAGGUUGGCUUAGAAGCAGCCAUCCUUUAAAGAAAGCGUAAUAGCUCACUGGUCUAGUGAUUUUGCGCGGAAAAUAUAACGGGGCUAAAGUAAGUACCGAAGCUGUAGACUUGCACACAACUUAGAUUAUUUAAGUUUAGAAUAUGAGAAACUAAGUUAUAUGUUUAGUUAUAUUUUUACUGAUUUUUAUAGAGUAAAGAUAGAAAUAAAACUUAGUAAAAUCAGUAAAAAUAUUCUUAGACUAAAGUUAAGUAGUUUAAGUUGUGUGCAAGUGGUAGGAGAGCGUUCUAUUUGCGUCGAAGGUAUACCGGUAAGGAGUGCUGGAGCGAAUAGAAGUGAGCAUGCAGGCAUGAGUAGCGAUAAUUAAUGUGAGAAUCAUUAACGCCGUAAACCCAAGGUUUCCUACGCGAUGCUCGUCAUCGUAGGGUUAGUCGGGUCCUAAGUCGAGUCCGAAAGGGGUAGACGAUGGCAAAUUGGUUAAUAUUCCAAUACCAACAUUAGUGUGCGAUGGAAGGACGCUUAGGGCUAAGGGGGCUAGCGGAUGGAAGUGCUAGUCUAAGGUCGUAGGAGGUUAUACAGGCAAAUCCGUAUAACAAUACUCCGAGAACUGAAAGGCUUUUUGAAGUCUUCGGAUGGAUAGAAGAACCCCUGAUGCCGUCGAGCCAAGAAAAGUUUCUAAGUUUAGCUAAUGUUGCCCGUACCGUAAACCGACACAGGUGGGUGGGAUGAGUAUUCUAAGGCGCGUGGAAGAACUCUCUUUAAGGAACUCUGCAAAAUAGCACCGUAUCUUCGGUAUAAGGUGUGGUUCGCUUCGUAUUAGGAUUUACUCCGAAAGCGAAGAAACUUACAACAAAGAGUCCCUCCCGACUGUUUACCAAAAACACAGCACUCUGCUAACUCGUAAGAGGAUGUAUAGGGUGUGACGCCUGCCCGGUGCUCGAAGGUUAAUUGAUGGGGUUAGCAUUAGCGAAGCUCUUGAUCGAAG
rnacentral:rRNA from 1 species